UACGUAGGGUGCGAGCGUUGUCCGGAUUUAUUGGGCGUAAAGAGCUCGUAGGCGGCUUGUCGCGUCGUCCGUGAAAAACCCGGAGCUCAACUCCGGGCCUGCAGUCGAUACGGGCGGACUCGAGUUCGGCAGGGGAGACUGGAAUUCCUGGUGUAGCGGUGAAAUGCGCAGAUAUCGGGAGGAACACCAAUGGCGAAGGCAGCUCGCUGGGACGUGACUGACGCUGAGACGCGAAAGCGUGGGGAGCAAACAGG
rnacentral:rRNA from 1 species